ACGACCUUACUUGAACAGGAUCUGUUCUAUAGGCUCGUACCACUGUAUCCUUGAUUCUAAGGAGACAGGAAACCAAGUCUGGUUGAUGAAGCAUGGCCAUGUGACCAGAGCGUGACUAACAGCCUAUCAUGGCUCUUUGAGCUGUGGUUGCAGUAGAUGAUCGUUCCUAGACCUGAUCUCAUGCCUAGGAUGGUCCCAUGGCUGUCUGACAGACU
rnacentral:snoRNA from 2 species